UGAGGAAUAUUGGUCAAUGGGCGGGAGCCUGAACCAGCCAAGUCGCGUGAGGGAAGACGGCCCUAUGGAUUGUAAACCUCUUUUGUCGGGAGCAAGAAAGGUAUGUAUACCCUACUGAGAGUACCCGAAGAAAAGCAUCGGCUAACUCCGUGCCAGCAGCCGCGGUAAUACGGAGGAUGCGAGCGUUAUCCGGAUUUAUUGGGUUUAAAGGGUGCGCAGGCGGACUGUUAAGUCAGCGGUAAAAUUGCGGGGCUCAACCUCGCCGAGCCGUUGAAACUGGUAGACUCGAGUGGGCGAGAAGUACGCGGAAUGCGUGGUGUAGCGGUGAAAUGCAUAGAUAUCACGCAGAACUCCGAUUGCGAAGGCAGCGUACCGGCGCCCAACUGACGCUGAAGCACGAAGGCGUGGGUAUCGAAACA
rnacentral:rRNA from 1 species